rnacentral:lncRNA from 1 species
AUUCGAGUAUUCGACUUGUAUUCUACAUUAUUCGAUUCGAAAAUAUUCGAUUCGAGUAUUCUAUAUUAUUCGAUCCGUGAUACUGUUUCUUCUCUGGCAACAGCGACGCCGCCGGCGACAUCGACGAAAAACAGAGCCCAAAAUCGCACACACGAAAACUGAAAAAUAAACCCCAAAUCGAAAAUUGCAGAUCCCAAAUGUAAAUUGCAAACCAAAUCUGCACAAAAUAUGACAACCGAUUCAAGAAGAUGCAGAGGAAAACUACAAAAUCACUCAUUUCAAAACCCUAAUUACAAUUACAAACUCCAGCGGCGUAAUAAAUAGGGAUCUCUGUACCGAAGGAGGCGGCGGCCAUGGUGUCGCGGCGCAGACCAGAGAGGCGGCAGCCAUGGAAUCGCGGCGCAGACAGAGGGAGAUGCGAGAGACCAGGGAACCCAAACCGGAGUCGAAUUUGACGGCGGGGAGAAGACCUGCGCUACUCGAGAAGGAGAGAAGGCGGGCGAGGAUGGAAGCGGCGAGGGUGGAGGCGACGAGCGACUGGGCGGCGCUGCAGCGAGCGAUGCAGGCGACGAGCGACCGAUGCAGGCGAGGCGGCGACGGGUGGGGCAGCGGCGAGUCGGCGACGGGUGGAUGCAGGCUUGGAGAUUGGGGGCUUCUUGGCUUCAAGCUGUGCGGCGCAGAUUAGGAAUGAGGAAUGAGGAAAUAGGAAAUAGGAAAUAGAAGGCCUGUGCGGCGCAGAUUAGGAAUGAGGAUUGGAAUGAGGAAAUAGGAAAUAGGAAAUAGGAAAUAGGAGGCGCUGAUUAGUGAUUAGGGUUUAGGUUUUACUUUUUAAUAUAUUAAACAAUUUAAAU